rnacentral:tRNA from 1 species
GUGCGUGUAGUAAAAAUAUUAUAUUUGCCUUCCAAGCAAAAGGUCUAAAAAUUAGCAUGUGCU